GUGAGGAAUAUUGCACAAUGGGCGAAAGCCUGAUGCAGCAACGCCGCGUGAGUGAUGAAGGCCUUUGGGUCGUAAAACUCUGUCCUUGGGGAAGAAAAAAAUGACGGUACCCUUGGAGGAAGCCCCGGCUAACUACGUGCCAGCAGCCGCGGUAAUACGUAGGGGGCAAGCGUUAUCCGGAAUUAUUGGGCGUAAAGAGUGCGUAGGUGGUUUUGUAAGCGUAGGGUGAAAGGCAGUAGCUCAACUAUUGUUAGCCCUGCGAACUGUGAGACUUGAGUGCAGGAGAGGAAAGUGGAAUUCCUAGUGUAGCGGUGAAAUGCGUAGAUAUUAGGAGGAACACCAGUGGCGAAGGCGACUUUCUGGACUGUAACUGACACUGAGGCACGAAAGCGUGGGUAGCAAACAGGAUUAGAUACCCCUGUAGUCC
rnacentral:rRNA from 1 species